GCGUUAAGUCGACCGCCUGGGGAGUACGGCCGCAAGGUUAAAACUCAAAUGAAUUGACGGGGGCCCGCACAAGCGGUGGAGCAUGUGGUUUAAUUCGAUGCAACGCGAAGAACCUUACCUGGUCUUGACAUCCACAGAACUUUCCAGAGAUGGAUUGGUGCCUUCGGGAACUGUGAGACAGGUGCUGCAUGGCUGUCGUCAGCUCGUGUUGUGAAAUGUUGGGUUAAGUCCCGCAACGAGCGCAACCCUUAUCCUUUGUUGCCAGCGGUCCGGCCGGGAACUCAAAGGAGACUGCCAGUGAUAAACUGGAGGAAGGUGGGGAUGACGUCAAGUCAUCAUGGCCCUUACGACCAGGGCUACACACGUGCUACAAUGGCGCAUACAAAGAGAAGCGACCUCGCGAGAGCAAGCGGACCUCAUAAAGUGCGUCGUAGUCCGGAUUGGAGUCUGCAACUCGACUCCAUGAAGUCGGAAUCGCUAGUAAUCGUGGAUCAGAAUGCCACGGUGAAUACGUUCCCGGGCCUUGUACAC
rnacentral:rRNA from 1 species